UACGGGGGGAGCAAGCGUUGUUCGGAUUUACUGGGCGUAAAGGGCGCGUAGGCGGCCUCCGCAAGUCAGUUGUGAAAUCUCCGAGCUUAACUCGGAAAGGUCAACUGAUACUGCGGGGCUAGAGUGCGGAAGGGGCAACUGGAAUUCUUGGUGUAGCGGUGAAAUGCGUAGAUAUCUGGAGGAACACCGGUGGCGAAGGCGGCGUUCUGGACUGCAACUGACACUGAGGAACGAAAGCCAGGGGAGCAAACGGG
rnacentral:rRNA from 1 species